GUUGACAUGUUGAUGUGUGUUGUUCGUCAUCUUAUUAUGUUUGAUCUGUACGAAUGCAUUAAUACAAAUGCUUAAAAGUACCAGUCAACCUGAGCACGAAAAAGUACUUUGCUUGAAAAGUUCCCUUUUUAUAUACAUUUAUUUGCACGAUUCAAUAUUUAAAAAUAGAAGUGUAUCAUGGUAAUGAUGUUAUGAAAUUUAAAUAACAAUUAACUUUUAAAUACCUAAAAGACUAAAUGGGUUGAUUUCGAUAACGAAAGUGGAAAUUCCUGUUGGAUUCGAUCCAUUAUUUUUGUUUACAAAAUACCAAUUAAUUUCUAUUCCGUUAUAUAUUUGGGUUUUCCCUUAUCUAUUUCUAUCUUUAGUAAAUGUGGUUUGUAAAACUAGUUUGAAGAACUUGUUUGAUAGUAUCUAUAUAUAAGUCUUUAGGGAGUACUGCACGGCAUUUCUUAGGCAGGAAUACGGGUGGGGUUCUAUAGUCCUAUAUAAGUCCGAUACUUGGAUAAUUUGUAUCGAGGGCUCACAGUAAUUAAAGUAACGACACGUUCUGCAUAGUAUAUUAUUUUAAUGUAUUUAUAAUGAUUAAGUUUAGAAUAGCUAGAUGUGUAUUUGUUGAUAUAUAUUUAUGUUAUAUUAUCAUAAUUAAAUGUUGUAUCGCACAGAAAAUAAGUUACUGCGAGCAAACCAAGCCU
rnacentral:lncRNA from 1 species